rnacentral:rRNA from 1 species
UACGGGGGGAGCAAGCGUUGUUCGGAUUUACUGGGCGUAAAGGGCGCGUAGGCGGCCACCGCAGGUCGAUUGUGAAAUCUCCGGGCUUAACCCGGAAAGGUCAACCGAUACUGCGGGGCUAGAGUGCAGAAGGGGCAACUGGAAUUCUCGGUGUAGCGGUGAAAUGCGUAGAUAUCGAGAGGAACACCUGCGGCGAAGGCGGGUUGCUGGGCUGACACUGACGCUGAAGCGCGAAAGCUAGGGGAGCGAACGGG